rnacentral:tRNA from 1 species
GCCCAGGUAGUAUAGUGGCCUAGUAUGCCGGCCUGUCGAGCCGGUGACCCGGGUUCAAAUCCCGGCCUGGGCGCCA